rnacentral:snRNA from 1 species
AUACUUACCUGGACAGGGUCAAUGGAUGAUCAAUAAGGUCCAUGUCCUAGAAUGGNAGCCUUCAUUGCACAUGGAAGGAGUGUUAUUCUAAGGUCUGUCCAAGUGACAGAACCUAUGUCAUAAUUUGUGGUUGUGGAGCCUGCGUACGCGCGGCUCCUUC